GCUCAAUGGUCCAUUCUACAGAUCACUGUCUGGCUGGGGUCAUUCAACAGGCAUGAGAUGGCUCUUAUUCCAACAAUUUCCCCUGGUGUUGUCUGAAAUUCCACCAGAAAGUCAAUGUCUUUGGAUUCAGUAUCACUUAUAGUAGUAUCUCUUGAAUGAAGCCUCCCAUGUUCCCUUCCCCAGGAGGAAAGGCAUUGCAUCUUCAGCACUCCACUACUCUGAUGUCAACCUCCUAGGAAAUGAAGCAAGCCUUCCAAUUCAUGGGGUGGAUGCCACCAUAGUGGUCGAAGACCCUGGCUGAAUGAUUUCCCUACAAUCCACAGAAUGUCUCAGCCACUGAGCUACUCUGAAGAGUCACUGUCUCCUCCUUCCCCUUCCCUUCUCGGCAACCUCCACGAUGACUGUGACCUCCCCUGGAUCAGUCUCCUAGGGUACUCUGGGUGUACAUCCCUCUCAUUAUGGUCCAGAGAUUGUGUCCUCCUUUCUUGGUCAUGCUGGCACCCAACACUGUCAGCAGAGAAACAACAGGCCUAAGUGAGAUGGUCUCAGCUCCUGCUGGCAAACACUCAGCAGCAACUAAAGGGGAAAGUGAUUCAUCUGUGCCUCUUCAUUCUUCCAGAAUGUGGGAGCUCUUUGGGGUUUGAAUUAGCACCUUUCUUGCCAGACAACAAGAUUGGAAUGGAGCAGAAUGUGCUACUGCAGGGGAAGCCCAGCUGCUAAGCUAAUGUGGACAGUCAACCACAACAGAUAAAGACUUCAGAUCUCAAGCUCAUUUCAGUAAGUUGAGGCUAUGAUUUAAGUUGCACUGAUUGCUGCAGGAAGGAGGAAAGGUGGGAGGGAAGGGUAAAACCAUAUAUAACUGAGCAUCUACUAUACAUCAAGCACUAGAUGUGGUGUUUCACACAUAUCAGCAUGCUUAAUCCUGGGUAAUGCUCCUGAGAGCUAGCUAUUUUUACCACAUUUUAGAGAAAAGUAAAUUGGAGCUUAGAGAGGCUACGUGACUCACCCAAGGCCACACAGCCCGUAAGUCACCCAGUAUUUCUGAUUCCUGUGCCCAUGCUCUUUCUGAGUACAAGGAUCCAAAGAAGCUCUUCCAAUUGGACUCACAACCUCCCUGUUGCUUUCUCCAUGGCCAAGUUCAGAUGAACAAUAGGAUCAUAGUGCCAACAAGU
rnacentral:lncRNA from 1 species